rnacentral:rRNA from 1 species
CAAAACUGUUGGACUAGAGGGCGGAAGAGGGAGGUGGAAUUCCCGGUGUAGUGGUGAAAUGCGUAGAUAUCGGGAGGAGCACCAGUGGCGAAGGCGGCCUCCUGGGCCGCACCUGACGCUCAGACGCGAAAGCUAGGGUAGCAAACGGGAUUAGAAACCCCGGUAGUCCUAGCCGUAAACGAUGUAGACUUGGUGUUGGUGGGGUAAAAGCCAUCAGUGCCGGAGCAAACGCGAUAAGUCUACCGCCUGGGGACUACGACCGCAAGGUUAAAACUCAAAGGAAUUGACGGGGACCCGCACAAGCAGCGGAGCGUGUGGUUUAAUUCGAUGCAACGCGAAGAACCUUACCCGGGCUUGACAUGCGAGUGGUAGGGAAGUGAAAGCGGACCGACCCUUCGGGGAGUUCGCACAGGUGCUGCAUGGCUGUCGUCAGCUCGUGCCGUGAGGUGUCCGGUUAAGUCCGGUAACGAGCGCAACCCUUGCUGUAUGUUACAAGUGUCAUACGGGACUGCCGGUAUAAAGCCGGAGGAAGGUGGGGAUGACGUCAAGUCAGCAUGGCCUUUAUGUCCGGGGCUACACACACGCUACAAUGGUCAGUACAAUAGGUUGCAAAACUGCGAAGUGGAGCCAAUCCAUAAAGCUGGCCACAGUUCAGAUUGCAGGCUGCAACUCGCCUGCAUGAAGUCGGAGUUGCUAGUAACCGCGCGUCAGCAACAGUGCGGUGAAUACGUUCCCGGGUCUUGUACACACCGCCCGUCACGUCAUGGAAGCUGGCAACACCUGAAGCCGGUAUCCUAACCGCAAGGAGGGAGCCGUCAAAGGUGGGGCUGGUGACUGGGACGAAGUCGUAACAAGGUAGCC